UACGAAGGGGGCUAGCGUUGCUCGGAAUCACUGGGCGUAAAGCGCACGUAGGCGGACUCUUAAGUCGGUGGUGAAAUCCUGGAGCUCAACUCCAGAACUGCCUUCGAUACUGAGAGUCUUGAGUCCGGGAGAGGUGAGUGGAACUGCGAGUGUAGAGGUGAAAUUCGUAGAUAUUCGCAAGAACACCAGUGGCGAAGGCGGCUCACUGGCCGGUACUGACGCUGAGGUGCGAAAGCGUGGGAGCAAACAGGG
rnacentral:rRNA from 1 species